rnacentral:rRNA from 1 species
UGAGGAAUAUUGGUCAAUGGGCGCAAGCCUGAACCAGCCAUCCCGCGUGCAGGAAGACGGCGCUAUGCGUCGUAAACUGCUUUUCCAGGGAGAGAAACUUGCGCACGUGUUGCGCAAUUGACGGUACCCUGGGAAUAAGCAUCGGCUAACUCCGUGCCAGCAGCCGCGGUAAUACGGAGGAUGCGAGCGUUAUCCGGAUUCAUUGGGUUUAAAGGGUGCGUAGGCGGACUAUUAAGUCAGUGGUGAAAUCCUGCAGCUCAACUGCAGAACUGCCAUUGAUGCUGAUAGCCUUGAGUUUGGUUAAGGUAGGCGGAAUGUGUAAUGUAGCGGUGAAAUGCUUAGAUAUUACACAGAACACCAAUUGCGUAGGCAGCUUACUGAGCCGACACUGACGCUGAGGCACGAAAGCGUGGGGAUCGAACAG